AAUAGAUACCCCGGUAGUCCACGCCGUAAACGAUGGAUGCUAGCUGUUAUGCGUAUCGACCCGUGUAGUAGCGAAGCUAACGCGUUAAGCAUCCCGCCUGGGGAGUACGAACGCAAGUUUAAAACUCAAAGGAAUUGACGGGGACCCGCACAAGCGGUGGAGCGUGUUCUUUAAUUCGAGGCUAAGCGAAGAACCUUACCAGGGCUUGACAUCCUUGGAAUUUCUCCGAAAGGAGAGAGUACUUUAUUGGACCAAGUGACAGGUGCUGCAUGGCCGUCGUCAGCUCGUGUCGUGAGAUGUUUGGUUAAGUCCAUUAACGAGCGCAACCCUUAUGAAUAGUUGUAUUUUUCUAUUUAGACUGCCCCGGUAACGGGGAGGAAGGGGGGAUGAUGUCAGGUCAGUAUUGCCCUUACGCCCUGGGCUAGAAACGCGCUACAAUGGCCGGUACAAUGCGCUGCCAACCCGCGAGGGGGAGCAAAUCGCAUCAAAGCCGGUCCCAGUUCGGAUAAGAGGCUGAAACUCGCCUCUUUGAAGCCGGAAUCGCUAGUAAUCGU
rnacentral:rRNA from 1 species